rnacentral:rRNA from 1 species
CGACCGGCGCACGGGUGAGUAACACGUAUCCAACCUGCCGUCUACUCUUGGACAGCCUUCUGAAAGGAAGAUUAAUACAAGAUGGCAUCAUGAGUUCACAUGUUCACAUGAUUAAAGGUAUUCCGGUAGACGAUGGGGAUGCGUUCCAUUAGAUAGUAGGCGGGGUAACGGCCCACCUAGUCUUCGAUGGAUAGGGGUUCUGAGAGGAAGGUCCCCCACAUUGGAACUGAGACACGGUCCAAACUCCUACGGGAGGCAGCAG